GCUCUUCCCCUUCUUUCCCAUUUCCCGUUUGUCCCAGGGCAGCGGCUUCAAGCUAGUUCGUUUGCCAUGAAUUUCCACAGUCCUUUUGGAGUGAUUUCACCAUGACACCUGCAUUACUCCAUUUCUUCACAUUUUGUCCCAACUCCAGAGUGCUGCUGGCAGACAGACAGAAGGGAAGAAGGACAACAGCAGAUGACCAGGAGAAAGAUGAGCAUACUCUUCCCUUCCCAGCACCAUUACUCAUGCCAUGUUUUCAUCUCUAACCUUCGGGACACAGAAGAACCUCCAGCUGUGUGCUUUUGUGGCAUUUUGACUCCACAACAGUGUGCUCAUGUCUGACAGCUCCCAGGAUUGCCAAGACUCCACAAGACCUACCUCCACAAAAUCAGUGAGCAUCUUCUUGCAACCUGAGGACACAAGGACAAAGCUGAACUUUCUUUAUGAUGAUCUACACUUCAGAAAAGAUGAGGUUGAUCUUGAAGCUGAUCCUGUUCUAUGUGAAAUCCAUUGAUUCCCGAUAAGAUACAUGGAAUUCUAGGCUGAGAAGUACUGAGAACUGAGAAUAUUUUACUGGGAAAUUUGUGGGUUGACUGCAAUCUUGCUCAGUGCUUAUAUGGUUCCUCAGGCAUCUACCCCAUCAGUGGACAAAGAUAAUGAACCAGAAAGCACAGUGGAAUUGGAAAGCAUGGACGAAAAAGACAACCCAGUGGGCAAAUGGGAGACUGGCAGUUUAAACCAGUGAUGGAGAUUUACUGGGGUCAGAGUCUCAGAAGCCUGUAGAGCAGUGAUCUGUAGAGGAGUAUGAGGUGGUGAUGGCAAUGAGAAGUGGAGAAGAGGACUGCGUAAAAAGAGACUGAAGGAACUGCCAAAAAGAGUUCAGGAACCAAUAGGAAGAAGGAGCCAUUGAAGCAAAAUGGCACUUCCUUUUCAGAGACUGGAAAAGAAUAUGAAAUUUUAACCCUUCUUUAGUCGCUGCCAAAACCAUAAAUAAUAUCCAUACAAAGGUGUGUGUCCCAUCCUGUUCCAUUCUGUUGUCAGUCCAUGUAGAGACAAAAACGUUAUGACUGCAAAUUACUAACUUAAAUGGCAAGUGUCUGGAGUAGAUCUAAAUUCAAUCACCCUCUACUGGUCUGUUGCAGGUCUCAGUAAGAAACUGGUGAGUUUUCUGACUUUUCAGAUUACUUUUCCAAACUUGUCUCAUUAAAAAUUUACAAUUGAAAUUAUUUGUAAUUUAUCUUUCAAAUCUUCAAAGCUAGGAUUAAACUGAAUCUACCCUACCCUCUUCUUCCUCUUGACAUAUAGAUAUAUAUGUAUAUACACCUUGUCAUAAUCUAUAUUUUUCAUGAAACAGUUUUAUUUAUCUGGUCCCCGGACGGAUAGUAUUCAACUAAUGAGCAGCCUUUCAGUCUCCUUCUUGUUCUUCUGUUUACUUCUUCUGUUGGAGCAGUUCCACCUUGUAUAAGUGAAAUAUUCAUUGGGUCAGAGACUGGCUAAGUACCCUGAUUGCUCCGGUGUUCACAUGAGAUGUGGGAGUCAAGGCUCAAGUCUUUAUUUCAAAGACUGAUUAACUAUUUAUAUAAAAUGGAAUAGGUACAACUGGAGGGAAUGAGACCUUUUCCUCAGUAUCCAUUAGACCAGAUGGCAGGGCAAUUGCAAAAGAGGUGUGACUCCAACACAGGUGUUGGUCAGCAGUGGGCAGAGUGCAGAUUUGGGCUUUAGUUUUCUCCAUCACACCACAGAGCUGUGACUACUAGGCUGUUGGAUCCUUGGGAGAAGGCCAGGUGGUUUCGGUCAAGCAUUUCAUUCUUGUCCAAAGUGACACAAAUAUUCCUGCAAAAGCAAUUUUCUUUUUUUUGACUAAUAAAUAUUUUAUUAUAAACCAGUAUAUUCAGAAAAUCUCCACUCAGCCCUAUAAAUAACAUUCCAAGUCAUGGGUAUAUCUGGUUGGUUGAGGCAGCUACUGCACCUCUGGGGCAAAGUUAGGUACAAGAAGAAUGAGGGUGGUUACAAUAAAGCAGCUGUAUUCCAGUAUAAUCAUGAAAUUGGGUUGGGGGAAUCCCCUAAAAAUUCUGUCCCAAUAGAGACUAUUCUAUAAACUGACAAUAUGAAUCAGAAUACUAACGUAACUUUAACUAUACCAAAAUACUGUGAAGUCUUGGGGGUUCCCCCCCCUUGAAAAAAGUACUCUAAAUAACACUCUAGUUGCCAGUACAGAUAGGUGCAUGAUCACCCACUGUAGUAUAAAAAUGAAGCACAUAUUUUCAAAGUCAUAA